AUAGUCUUUCGUUACACAAAUAGGCUCCAUGGCAUGGCUAUCUGGGGUGAUGCUGUUCAUACGGUUAAACUACCGAAUGAACAGGCAUUCGGUUAUACUACCGAAUGCAGAGGUUAGGAGGCUGGCGGCUCAGCGGUGUUUGCGCAAAUAAGUGUCCGUUUCCAGUUCCAUAGUUUGGGCGCUGAACACCGCUGGCCGUUCGGGAGUUAAAAUGGC